GCCACCGUAGCUCAGUUGGUAGAGCAACGCAUUCGUAAUGCGUGGGUCGGGGGUUCAAAUCCCUCCGGUGGCUCAA
rnacentral:tRNA from 1 species